CGAGCGACGCACUCCGGAGGGGUAACCCACUGGAAUGACGGAGCGGCGAACGGGUGAGUAACACGUGAGCAACCUGCCCCACAGACCGGGAUAGCCCAGGGAAACCUGGAUUAAUACCGGAUACCCUCCUAGGACCGCAUGGUCCAUUGAGGAAAUACCUUUGUGCUGUGGGAUGGGCUCGCGGCUUAUCAGCUAGUUGGUGGGGUAACGGCCUACCAAGGCAUUGACGAGUAGCUGGUCUGAGAGGACGAUCAGUCACACUGGAACUGAGACACGGUCCAGACUCCUACGGGAGGCAGCAGCAGGGAAUCUUGCGCAAUGGGCGAAAGCCUGACGCAGCGACACCGCGUGGGGGAUGAAGGCCUUCGGGUUGUAAACCCCUUUCAGGAGGGAAGAAAUUGACGGUACCUCCACAAGAAGGACCGGCCAACUACGUGCCAGCAGCCGCGGUAAUACGUAGGGUCCGAGCGUUAUCCGGAAUCAUUGGGCGUAAAGAGCUCGUAGGCGGUUCAGCAAGUCGGCUGUGAAAGUUCGAGGCUCAACCUCGAAAUUGCAGUCGAUACUGCUGUGACUCGAGUCCGGUAGAGGAGAAUGGAAUUCCCGGUGUAGCGGUGAAAUGCGCAGAUAUCGGGAGGAACACCAGUAGCGAAGGCGGUUCUCUGGGCCGGUACUGACGCUGAGGAGCGAAAGCGUGGGGAGCAAACAGGAUUAGAUACCCUGGUAGUCCACGCCGUAAACGUUGGACACUAGGUGUGGCGGUCUAUCAACGACUGCUGUGCCGAAGCUAACGCAUUAAGUGUC
rnacentral:rRNA from 1 species